rnacentral:tRNA from 1 species
GAUCGCGUGGUGUAAAAGGUCAGCAUGGUGGGCUUUCAUCCCGCCGAUGCGGGUUCGAGUCCCGUCGCGAUUGCCA